rnacentral:lncRNA from 1 species
UUUGUACUUUGUUGUAUUUGCUUCGGGAAUAUGUUAACAAGUGACACAUAUUAAGUAGCUAACUAAGGAAAGAUCACAGUUUUUGAUACAUUGAUUGUUCUUCAUAUACUGUGAAACUGAUGCUUUGAAAAUUGGAACUUUCUUUAUGACGUAUAUUUAACAAUCCAAUCUGCCACUUCGAAUUGCUUAAUUCAGACUUCUUUUCUUGGCGACCUGAUCUACAAAUAAGUCUUGUAAUUUCUCUGCAGGCAAAAGUAUCAUGUGAGGUACUGGUCAAUACAAAGAACCAAACAAUUGUUCGUCAAAGCUGUUACCCUGAGGUGAGUAGAAUUCAAGCUCUCAACUUGUAUUCAUAAACUCACUGCCAAGUUAAGAAUCUCUUUUCCUCUCAAGUUGCCAACAAAGUGUCAUAAGAUUCUCUGGAAUUAGUACAAGUUGAGAUGUCUAACAACCAGAACCAGGGACAGUUUCUAGCGGUCUUAAUAGAUAAAAUAGUCAUACAUGUGAACGGUAACAAUUCUUCUUGUAUCCACAGCGACUAGGAAGCUCAAUGGCAUCAUUGCAAAGCUAAUUCAGUGGCUUUCAUCUGCGAUGCUCAUGCAAGAAAUGAUCUGGCGAGUGGAUCAAGAGGACAAGGUACAUCGUCAAUCCGGGUAAAAGCUACUUCCCCUAAGGCACAGAAAUCAGAGUGGUGGCAAAAGUGUAUUGACUUGGGUUCUGGUACGAUGAUCAAUAUGUGAGGAUCCAGUAAUAGUUGAAAGAGGAUGUGUGGAUGUAAAUAUUAAUUGAGUGGAAAUUGUGUUAAAAGAGCUUAUAUCCAUGUACAAAGUAACAAAGAUGACUACUUUUGAUCAACAGAAAUAGUACUUGAUGCAUAUUUAACACAGGAUGUGUGCAGAGGUGUUUCUUUACAUCACGGUGCUCAUUUUUGUGCACCUUACUUGUGGGACUGGACUCGAUUACGAGUGUCGAAUCCAACCUGACCGACCCAUGUGUAAUUUGACUGGUGAUAUCUGCACCUGAAGGAUCUGGGAUGAACUGUAGGAGAGCACAGGCACCAGUUGGCUGUGCCUCCGCCACCUCCGCCAUUCCCUCUUGCUUCCUCAUUCGAUGCCUCGUUGCCAUCGGCUUCGCGUGCCACCGUCUCUGGCGGGGCAACCUGUCUUUGGCGACUCCUGGUCCUUCGGGACACUCCAACCACCGGAAAACUAGGUUGACACAUCGGUCUUUUCUAUUCCCUUUCUCUUGCCCCUUAAUUUCUUGGAAUGUAAUUUACUGCGAUUGUGCGAGGAAGGACUUGGUAUUUGUUACAAGAGCAAGAAACGUGAGGAUUCUAAGGAAACAGAGGAGAUAUGAAGUCAGGACCAAAAAAAACAAAGUUUGGAUAUGUCUGAAAGGAGAGCAAGAAACGUGAGGAUUCUAAGGAAACAGAGGAGAUAUGAAGUCAGGACCAAAAAAACAAAGUAUGGAUAUGUCUGAAAGGCAAUUAGAGGCUGCCAAUUGGAUAUGUCUGGGAGGCAAUUAGAGGCUGCCAAUGUCAUUCUUGUUAGGCUUUUUUGUUGGGUUGUGGAAGGGUGGCUUUGUGUGCUUGGAGGGGGGGAUCGUGUCGCUGUGUGGAUGGCG